UGUGAGUCUCGAUGUGCUUUGUAAUC
rnacentral:piRNA from 1 species